rnacentral:rRNA from 1 species
GUCCUACGGGACGCAGCAGUGGGGGAUAUUGCACAAUGGGGGGAACCCUGAUGCAGCGACGCCGCGUGAGUGAAGAAGUAAUUCGUUAUGUAAAGCUCUAUCAGCAGGGAAGAAUAAAUGACGGUACCUGAGUAAGAAGCCCCGGCUAACUACGUGCCAGCAGCCGCGGUAAUACGUAGGGAGCGAGCGUUGUCCGGAAUUACUGGGUGUAAAGGGAGCGUAGGCGGGACUGCAAGUUGGGUGUCAAAUCUACCGGCUCAACCGGUAGCCGCACUCAAAACUGCAGUUCUUGAGUGAAGUAGAGG